rnacentral:piRNA from 1 species
UUCAGCACUCGAUGAUGAGAUAGUAUCU